rnacentral:lncRNA from 1 species
UGGGUGUUCUACUAUACAGAUACAGCCCUACAGAUAUCGCUAUGCUGUAUCUGUAUACUAUACAGAUAUCGCUUUAAAGCUCUGCCCACUGCCGGACUGAGUAUUGUCUGAACCUGUGUGACCUCAGAAUGUGUAUUCCAGUUGCAUUCCAAUGACGAUGACAAUUGUCGAUUUCAAAACUUGAAUGUGUAUGAUUGUGUUACAAAAUCAACCAUGUCAAUUCAGCAUGCAUGUUUAGUGAAUGUCAAGUCUGAAGCGUAGGACAACUCGUACACUUCUGUUUCAAAUUUGACAAUGUUUUGUUAUUUGUUUUUACUGUUGAAAUUAGAUGUUAUGUUAAAAUAGAUAAUUAUUCACCUUGAGCGAUGUAUUAUUGUUGACCAUUCGAGAUUUCUUUUUUUGCGAACCCGUCUUCAGCGUAAUGUGUGAUUUUGAUAUUACUACGCGGGCCUCAAGGGAUUACAAUUUAAGAAUUGAAUGCUUCUUUUUGUAAAUUUAUUGGGGUGUAAAAGCG